CGUAGGGUGCGAGCGUUAAUCGGAAUUACUGGGCGUAAAGUGUACGCAGGUGGCCGCGCAUGUCGAGUGUGAAAUCCCCGGGCUUAACUUGGGAAUUGCGCUCGAAACUACGUGGCUAGAGUGUGGCAGAGGAAGGUGGAAUUCCACGUGUAGCGGUGAAAUGCGUAGAGAUGUGGAGGAACACCGAUGGCGAAGGCAGCCUUCUGGGCCAACACUGACGCUCAUGCACGAAAGCGUGGGGAGCAAACAGGAUUAGAUACCCUGGUAGUCCACGCCCUGAACGAUGAUGACUAGUUGUUGGAGGAGUUAAAUCCUUUAGUAACGCAGCUAACGCGUGAAGUCAUCCGCCUGGGGAGUACGGUCGCAAGAUUA
rnacentral:rRNA from 1 species